rnacentral:rRNA from 1 species
UACGGGGGGGGGGCAAGCGUUGUUCGGAAUUACUGGGCGUAAAGGGCUCGUAGGCGGCCAACUAAGUCAGACGUGAAAUCCCCUCGGCUUAACCGGGGAACUGCGUCUGAUACUGGAUGGCUUGAGGUUGGGGAGAGGGAUGCGGAAUUCCAGGUGUAGCGGUGAAAUGCGUAGAUAUCUGGAGGAACACCGGUGGCGAAGGCGGCAUCCUGGACCAAUUCUGACGCUGAGGAGCGAAAGCCAGGGGAGCAAAGCGGG